UACGAAGGGGGCUAGCGUUGCUCGGAAUGACUGGGCGUAAAGGGCGCGUAGGCGGUUCAUACAGUCAGAUGUGAAAUUCCUGGGCUCAACCUGGGGACUGCGCUUGAGACGUGUGGGCUUGAGUGGGGAAGAGGGUCGUGGAAUUCCCAGUGUAGAGGUGAAAUUCGUAGAUAUUGGGAAGAACACCGGUGGCGAAGGCGGCGACCUGGUCCUUGACUGACGCUGAGGCGCGAAAGCGUGGGGAGCAAACAGG
rnacentral:rRNA from 1 species